UCUCGUUUAAGUGAUGCAAUCCCUACCUCUAAUGCUCAUUGCAGCUCUUUAGCUGCGCCAAUAUAAAUAAACUUCUUAAAAAUAAA
rnacentral:sRNA from 1 species